ensembl:lncRNA
GAGGCCUAUCAUUACGCUUGUUUAGAAGAACUAGACUAAACUUCCUGGGAGAAUCCACGGAUAAUUCAAAACCGCUCCUCAGGACGGAAUCCCACUCUAAAACGGUGUCGUUUAUGGGACUUCCACCACAGAUUACCGUGGGACUCCCAUGGAUCAACCACUACCAGGCCAGGCUAAGGCCUACCCCCAGCCCAGACAGCAAGGCCGCACACACAGCAGCAGCACCCCUGGUGGUCUUCCCAGGAGCCCGGCCCUGGGAAGACCCUGACACAGGCUUUGAGGAGACCUUUUGACAUUGCCACAGACACGGAUUUAGAAUGGUCCACCGCAAAAAAAAAGAAGAUUUCACACCAAGUUGACCACCAGAAAGUGUCAAGCAUCAAAAUG